GCCGGGCGCGGUGGCGCGCGCCUGUAGUCCCAGCUACUCGGGAGGCUGAGGCUGGAGGAUCGCUUGAGCCCAGGAGUUCUGGGCUGCCGUGCGCUAUGCCGAUCGGGUGUCCGCACUAAGUUCGGCAUCAAUAUGGUGACCUCCCGGGAGCGGGGGACCACCAGGUUGCCUAAGGAGGGGUGAACCGGCCCAGGUCGGAAACGGAGCAGAUGAAGAGCUCGUUGUUCAUUCGUAUCGCUGUCAGGCACGUGAUGAGCCACUGUUCUCUCGCCGCGCAAAAUCUAUAGAGAGCGUGCCUCAU
rnacentral:SRP_RNA from 1 species